rnacentral:rRNA from 1 species
AACGAACGCUGGCGGCAUGCCUAACACAUGCAAGUCGAACGAAGCCUUCGGGCUUAGUGGCGCACGGGUGCGUAACGCGUGGGAAUCUGCCCCUUGCUUCGGAAUAACAGUUAGAAAUGACUGCUAAUACCGGAUGAAGUCUUCGGACCAAAGAUUUAUCGGCAAGGGAUGAGCCCGCGUAGGAUUAGGUAGUUGGUGGGGUAAAGGCCUACCAAGCCGACGAUCCUUAGCUGGUCUGAGAGGAUGAUCAGCCACACUGGGACUGAGACACGGCCCAGACUCCUACGGGAGGCAGCAGUGGGGAAUAUUGGACACUGGACGCAAGUCUGAUCCAGCAAUGCCGCGUGAGUGAUGAAGGCCUUAGGGUUGUAAAGCUCUUUUACCAGGGAUGAUAAUGACAGUACCUGGAGAAUAAGCUCCGGCUAACUCCGUG